GGUCUGACGAGACUAGGCCAUGGAGCUGGGUUCGCCGCUGACCUCUCCAUCUAGCGCGCGGCCCCGGCGCCCACCAGUCCAGUGACCCACUACUACCUCUUUGCUCACCAGCAGCUGCUGAUCUUACUGCCGGUGAAAUGGCAGACAAACGUCUACUCUGUGCUCUUCAGAGUAGACACCAGGAGCAGGAACUGUAUGCACUUCCCAAGCCCUUGCUGACUGGGAAUGGUCUCCACCCUGAGAUUUUAACCAGUUCCGGUUUAGCAAAUGGCGCCUCCCCACCUCUGGCUUCUGGCACGCAGGUUUUAGCAACCAUUGUAGCCCACGUCAACGAAAGAAGCUGCCGCCAGUAGUUCUAGAAGACAUACUGAACUCCAAACCUGUAUAUAUUGAAUAAUUGAUCAAAAACUAUCUUCACAAUGAGGGAGGCUCACAUCUCCCUCAAACGAAUACUUCCUCUACCUGACAACAGGGCUGGACAGUUAAUAUGGUUGGCUUUACCCCAAAGGCCAGUGUGGCUCCUCUUCUGUUCUUUAUAAAUCCAACCUACUAAUUGAUACCUCACUUUCUACAUAAUUCUACAUAAAUUAUCUUCCUUUUAAAAUGUGGGGAGGGAAUAAGUGGCGGCAAACGUUUAAGCAACAACAAAAAACCUUGGCGCAGAAGGAUAUACCAAUAAAUUGAAAGUGAAACUAUGAUCAGAUUUUUCAUUUUUUAAUGUUCCGUGUUUUCUUAAGUAGCAUGUAUGACAUUUAUAAUUUUUAAAAAUUUUUUAAAAUAUGUGUAUGAUACAUAUUUUUCAUUGUCUUAGGGCAGGCUUUUGAAAAUGUCAGCCUGUAGCCAAAUGCAAGAUUUUCUCCAUCCUUUAAUAAAAAGCACACUGAGAAAUCCUCA
rnacentral:lncRNA from 1 species